CCGAUGCUUUCCACCUGGAAGAGGAGGUGGACGAACUCACAGUCACGAACCAGAGGUUUCUGGAGGCUUCUGUCGGGAGACCUUCACCAUCUCCUCGUCUCACUCAGCAGACACGCGUGCCUGGCCGUCGAGUACCAGGCAGUGUGCUGGGUGCCGGGCAUCCAGCGAUGACUGUCCUCCAGGAGCUCGCGGCCUGGGGACCAGACCCACAGUGCCUGACGUGCUGUGAUGGAAACCCAGUACUUAGGAGCCUCCACGAGGAGGGGGGCUGAGUCCUAAAGGAGUCACAGGCAUUCUAGUAGAAAAGAGGGACGCGUUCUCUUUGGUUUGAGCGCCGUAAAAGCCUGGAGUUUGUGAAAAUGCGUGGACACGAGACCUUGUCUGAAAUGCACCUCUUCUAAGCAACCUGGAUAGUGUUAGUCCAACAAUCAGGGUUAACAGGCAGAUUCUCAUACGAAGCGCUUGCUCCCUGCUGGGCACUGUCACAGGCUCUGGGGACACAGAGAUGAUCACCUGCCCUCAAGGAGGCUGAAAGAGCAAGGGAAGCAAGGGUGAUCGUACAGCGUCAUUAGUGUGAUGAGGCAGGCAUCCCGGGGCUCAGGCCAGCAGCGGGAGGGAGGGCCGGGCAGGCUUGCAGGAGUUGGUCUCCAGCCUGAUGUUUAGGACAAGAGCAGCAGUGAGAGAGAGAGUGAGGAGUCGGGGGUGGCUUAGCUUGGGUGGUGGUGUGCCCAGGGGUCUGGGGUGGGCAGAGGCAGGAGUCUCUAGAGCACAUAUCUGCCUGGCACCUGCCUAGGGCGGGCUGUUCCCUGGCCUGUGUGGUGGGCGAUGGCUCCCACCGGGCAGCAUGUGACCGCAUGGGAGGUGUGUGACCGUCGUGCUUGCCCAGGGCCUGGCCCACAGUAGGGUCCAGUAGCAGGAUCGGGGUGACUGCUGGCACACAAGGAGUCCUUUGCGACCGUCAGUUCUGCCUCUGACUGCGCCCCUGCCAUCAUGCAGACCUCAAUGCAGCUCCUCCGAGGCCUGGAUCCUUCCUACACAGUCAUUUCCCUGCCCUAGUGUAGCAAUCUCCAAACCCAUAUUAAUAACCAAAUUAAUACCAAAAUCUGUAUUAGCUCGGGCUGCCAUAUCAAAAUACUGCAGACUGGAGGCUUAAACCACAGAUGUUUAUGUCUCACAGCUCUGGAGGCUGGAAAUUCAAGAUCAAGGUGAUGGCGGAUGUGGUUCCUGCGGACUUAACGUCCUUUGUGACCCACUUCGAAUGGGACAUGGCCAAGUACCCUGCGAAGCAGCCGCUGGUGAGCAUAGCAGACACUCUGGCAAAGCAACUGGCACAGAUUGAGACGGACCUGAAGUCCCGCACGGCCGCCUACAACGCUCUGAAGACAAAUCUGGAGAACCUGGAGAAGAAAUCCACGGGAAACCUCUUCACUCGGACACUGAGCGAUAUUGUGAGCAAAGAAGACUUUGUGUUGGAUUCUGAGUAUCUGAUCACACUUCUGGUCAUUGUUCCCAAACCAAGCUAUGUACAAUGGCAAAAAACCUACGAAUCCCUCUCGGACAUGGUGGUCCCACGGUCGACGAAGUUGAUAGCUGAGGACAACGAGUGUGGCCUCUUCACCGUGACUCUGUUUCGAAAAGUGAUUGACGAUUUCAAAACCAAAGCCAAAGAGAAUAAGUUCACUGUCCGUGAAUUUUACUAUGAUGAAAAAGAAAUUAAAAGGGAAAGGGAAGAGAUGACCAGACUGCUGUCGGAUAGGAAGCAACAAUACCAAACUUCCUGUGUUGCUCUUAAAAAGGGAUCAUCCACCUUCCCGGACCACCAGGUUAAGGUAACCCCGCUAGGGAACCCUGAUAGGCCCGCUGCGGGGCAGAACGACAGAGAGAGAGAGAGUGAGGGCGAGGGUGAGGUAAGCAUCUCCCCGGGAGCCCUGGGGUUCCCCGGCUCGCAUGUCCUUGCCCGCGCAGGCAUCUUUGGAGAAAGCAAAUCCUUGCGUUUCCUGUUAUCUACUAUGGCUUUUGAGGUCUUAAAUUCAGGGAUUCCAGAAUCAUGCCUUCCUCCUAAUCUGCAGGGUCUCUUGAGAGCUGCCCCUCCCGCUCCCCCUCCCCCUCCCCCAGCAAUGAUUGGUGCUUGCUGGCCAGGGUGCCUUUGUCCUGGCUGGCGGUGGCUGGAGCUGGUGAUGGGGCAGGUCCCGGCUGGGGGAUGGUGGUCAGGCAGCUCAGCUCUCUUCCCCUGGGUGCCCGCCCCUGACCCACCCCUGACCUUUGUGGGCAUCCGAGGAGGACCAGCCAUGCCAGCAUUAGCGACAGUGGCUGUGGCCACGUGCAGUGGGGCUGUGAGGAACCCCCUGGAAGUGGUGGCUGGUGGAUGGUGCCGGGACUUGGAGUGGAGCCUUCGAGAAGGGGGGCUCCUUGGCGGCGCAGUGUCAGCCAGAAGCCUGCUGGCUGCCUUCUGAACGCCCCGAGGUCAGGGGCUGUCCGCCCCCCGCAGCCCGGUGGGUGAUGGCCCCAUGCGUGUGCUGGCUGGCAGGCCCACUGAGCUGCCCCAGCGCCAGGUGCCCUGGAGAACGUGGGCCUGGGCCUCACCCUGGCCUCGUCGGACCGCCUCGCUGCUCCUGCUGGCCCCUGGGCGUUUCUUCUCAGCUCGGGGCUUGCUCUGUUGAAACCCACGUCCUUUGUUGGCCGGGCGUUGGGUGGACUGGCCGGGAGCGGUCACCGCACUCCUGUCCCUGCAGGGCCCGCUGCUGCGAUGGCUCAAGGUGAACUUCAGCGAAGCCUUUAUUGCCUGGAUCCACAUCAAGGCCCUGAGAGUGUUUGUGGAGUCUGUGCUCAGGUAUGGAUUGCCAGUGAACUUCCAG